rnacentral:rRNA from 1 species
UACGUAGGUGGCAAGCGUUGUCCGGAUUUAUUGGGUUUAAAGGGUGCGUAGGCGGCCUAUUAAGUCAGGGGUGAAAGACGGUGGCUCAACCAUCGCAGUGCCUUUGAUACUGAUGGGCUUGAAUGAACCUGAGGUAGGCGGAAUGUGACAAGUAGCGGUGAAAUGCAUAGAUAUGUCACAGAACACCAAUUGCGAAGGCAGCUUACUAAAGUUUAAUUGACGCUGAGGCACGAAAGCGUGGGGAUCAAACAGG